GCCUGUGUGGCAUAAUGGUUUGAGUGUUGGAUUGUGUUCUGGAGACCAGGGAUUGAUUCCCAGCUCGGCCA